ensembl:snRNA U6 U6 spliceosomal RNA
GCACUCCCUUCAGCAGCACAUAUACUAAAACUGGAAUGAUACAGAGAUUAGUAUGGUCCCUACACAAAGAUGACAUGCAAGUUCUUGAAACAUUCCAUAUUAUA